AUACGGAGGGUGCAAGCGUUGUUCGGAAUUACUGGGCGUAAAGCGCGUGCAGGCGGUAAGGUAAGUCAGAUGUGAAAGCCCCGGGCUCAACCCGGGAAGUGCAUUUGAUACUGCCUUUCUUGAGUAUGGGAGAGGAGAGUGGAAUUCCCAGUGUAGAGGUGAGAUUCGUAGAUAUUGGGAGGAACACCCGUGGCGAAGGCGACUCUCUGGACCAAUACUGACGCUGAGACGCGAAAGCGUGGGGAGCGAACAGGAUUAGAUACCCCGGUAGUCC
rnacentral:rRNA from 1 species